ensembl:lncRNA
AAAAAAACCGUUUUCCGCCCUUCCGGGCUCGGGCGGUGGCAGCUGCGGAGCGAGGCGGGGCGAGCGCUCCCACCGCCUCCCCGCGCCCGCCCUCCCGCCUGAGCCCCAGCCCGCGCCCGAGCCGCCCUCACACACCCACCGCCCGCCCGGCUUCGCAUCCCGCCGCUCCCAGCAUGGUCAUCAAGGUCUACAUCGCCUCUUCCUCCGGCUCCACGGCGGAUCGUCUGGUUUCUCUUUGAUCCAUGUGGGAGAUGCUCCGAGGCUGAAAUCCGGGGGAUUUGGUUGCACUUGGUAUGGAUGUGCUGGAGAACUACAAAAUGCCAGGGACUCAGAAAAGGCCAGCUAUUUGCAGUUAAUGAUCAGUGACUUUUACUGCAAGGAGAAAAAGAGUCUGAGCUGUGGCUGUAUGAUGACCUUUUCCUGUCACUGUUCACGCUUCAGGUCCCCAAACUUUGGGAGGACUGUGAUGUACAGAAGACAAAAAUAAGCCCUCACUGCAUUCUCCUUCUUUGAGUGCAGCCACUGGUCUGUGGGCUUCAGCAGAUCAAAUACCAAUUGGUAAGCUUGGGGUGACGGGCUGCAGAUGGCACAGGAGCCUGUGCCUCAGGUGUCCCUGCUGUCCCUCCCUUCCCAGGUCAUUUUUAGUAAACUUGAUGCCAGCGCUGACAGUGCUGGUGCUGGUGGUGAAAAGCAGAGGAUUAUUUCAUGCUGACCAGGGAGGGUCUUGAAAUCCUGAGUAGUUCAAUCAUAAAAGGGACCCAAAGGGAUUUCUGCUGGGUUCAUACAGAAUGAUCAUCUGGAAGGAAAGCAGCAGAUUGGAAAAGUAAUCUUUUUCUUUCUAAUGCAGCUGUUAAUAGGUUUCAAGUUGACUGCUUCAGUUGCUAUAGAUUUUUAUCAGCGCCCUCUUCAUGGCACCUAUUGAUUUCUGUCUGUCUGGCGAUACUGAGCUCUAGGGGUGCAAGCACAGAUCUCAAUGCCAAUUGUGUUUUUCUGGUUUUAAAUUAAGUUUUUUAAUUAUUAUCUUAGUGUCUUCUACAGUGCUGCCUGGUCCUUGUGUGGGUUGUACAUGUUACAAAGCUCCAGUCUGACUAACUGCUGCCUUUCAGGCUCCUUUGUGCAUCCCUGCCUGUGGAAUUUGAAUGUAGCGUUGGUGUCGUCUGUUUUUUGGGGAAUUUGAGUGUAAUGUGCACAUGAUUGCCAGUUUUAUGACGUGUAUAUUUUUAUAUAUAUACGCACACACAUUCACUCAUGACUGUCUAAAGCUGGAGCAGUUCAAGAGAUCUUGUGGUAAUGAGCAAGACUUGCACAUUCUUAGAUUCCUGCGUACACUGAGGGUGUUUCUGUUGGCAGGACCAGCCCAGCACCUCACUGGGUGAUGUUUUCUUUCCAGCAUAAGAAUUUUAAUCGAUGUUUCAACCUAAAGUAAGACAGAGAGGCACCUCUUUGGAGGGAAUGGGAACGAGUUUUUUCUGUGGCUCUUAAAACUGUUGGUGCGACAGGCUUUGGUUGGAGGACCAGAGAAGCCAUUCUGGGUGCUGAAUCUGAAAUAACUCACUCCAGGAAUGGAAAAUCCACAUCAGAGAAGAUUGCUACAGAGAAACGGAACAGGGACGAGGCUGUUUGCAGCAAAGUGACUGAACUGGGUAACAUCAGCCUGGGCAGGGCUCUCACUCCUUGUACUGUAGUGACACCCAGCACUGUGUUAUUUUGGGUUUUAAAAGGCUAAUUUGCCUGAGUAGAAGCAAACCAGAAAUAAAUAUCAAAUCUCCUCCUUCCUGCCCCA